GACGAACGCUGGCGGCGUGCUUAACACAUGCAAGUCGUACGGUAAGGCCCUUUCGGGGGUCCACGAGUGGCGAACGGGUGAGUAACACGUGAGUAACCUGCCCACAACUUUGGGAUAACGCUAGGAAACUGGUGCUAAUACUGGAUAUGUGCUCCUGCUGCAUGGUGGGGGUUGGAAAGCUCCGGCGGUUGUGGAUGGACUCGCGGCCUAUCAGCUUGUUGGUGGGGUAGUGGCCUACCAAGGCGGCGACGGGUAGCCGGCCUGAGAGGGUGACCGGCCACAUUGGGACUGAGAUACGGCCCAGACUCCUACGGGAGGCAGCAGUGGGGAAUAUUGCACAAUGGGCGCAAGCCUGAUGCAGCAACGCCGCGUGCGGGAUGACGGCCUUCGGGUUGUAAACCGCGUUCAGCAGGAACGAAGCUUUUUGUGACGGUACCUGCAGAAGAAGCACCGGCUAACUACGUG
rnacentral:rRNA from 1 species